rnacentral:lncRNA from 12 species
GAAAGAAGCAACCCCUCUGGUUUGAAAGGACAGGGGAGGUGACAGCACACGCCAUGCCAGAGGGAGAUGAUUAGCCAGAGGAAUUCUGAGCACCUGGAGCCAGUUGUCUCUUCUGGAGGAGCCAGUGGCCAAGAGGAGUCCUCACUCAAGUUGUCCUAGGGAAGAAAGGUAAGAUGCCUUUGGCUUUUGUUUGGUGUACUGGUUUGUUUCCCAAACAAGGUAAGAACAGAAGUCAAGUUUAAGCCAUGAAUUUAAAAAAAAAAAAAAAAAAAAAAAAAAAAAAAAAGGGGGGAAUAUUUUGUAUUGUUUUUCACUCUCAGGCAGAAAGGAAAUUAUUCAGGUUCUGCUGAUAUUUUUGUUAGUGGAAAGCAUAGAUGUGGAAACCCAGUGGCUACUAAGGUACCCUAGGGAAGAGGCAAGAUAGUAUAAGACAGCCUUGCUGCUCUUAUUGUUAUAGGCUCUUGAGAUUGAGAAUCCAAGUUAUGAUGUUAUGACAGUACUUAUAAAAAUAUUCCAGAUUUUCCAGAAUUCCCAUCAAUCUGAUACAUGGGGCUAUGGAGAUAAAGAUGACAUAGGAGGAUGUGCCCUUAAACCAUGGGCUGGAGAUUCUCUUUUUCCUUCAUCAACAAUACAAUGGGGAAGGAAAUAGGGAUGAAGAACUUCAGCUCUGAUCACUGUUGAUGGUUCCAAAUCUUCCUGUCACUGUGCUAACUCCAAAGGUCACAACUU